rnacentral:rRNA from 1 species
AUUGAACGCUGGCGGCAUGCCUUACACAUGCAAGUCGAACGGUAACAGGUUAAGCUGACGAGUGGCGAACGGGUGAGUCAUGUAUCGGAACGUGCCCAGUCGUGGGGGAUAACUGCUCGAAAGAGCAGCUAAUACCGCAUACGACCUGAGGGUGAAAGCGGGGGAUCGCAAGACCUCGCGCGAUUGGAGCGGCCGAUAUCAGAUUAGGUAGUUGGUGAGGUAAAGGCGCACCAAGCCGACGAUCUGUAGCUGGUCUGAGAGGACGACCAGCCACACUGGGACUGAGACACGGCCCAGACUCCUACGGGAGGCAGCAGUGGGGAAUUUUGGACAAUGGGCGCAAGCCUGAUCCAGCCAUGCCGCGUGCGGGAAGAAGGCCUUCGGGUUGUAAACCGCUUUUGUCAGGGAAGAAAAGGUUCUGGCUAAUACCUGGGACUCAUGACGGUACCUGAAGAAUAAGCACCGGCUAACUACGUG